GCAAGUGCCAGUUGCUCCGCGGCACUCGUUACGGUUGGUCACUCAGAACGCUUGGUUGCUGUCUCUUAAAAGGAUCCUUCUUUCGGCCGUCUCUAACCUUUUGGUCAGUCGGCGAUUAUCCGGAGAACUCGCGUGGAAGAUUAUUAAUUGGAAUUAAUUGGACUUAACUGAGUGAAGUUGCAGUGGAACGUGCUGUAUGUUAAGAACGCAGGAAUGUAGCGACUGUAGCGAGUGAAUAGUGUCGUGUAUGGGCGUGUUUUUCAGACAAGUACCUUUGAUCUUCGAUUGUUCUCUCUAAAAACAUAUUGAAAAGAUUCCGGGGAACAUGACGUUACCGACGAUACGCGUUGCUAUAUUCAUCUUGUUGCUCGUCGUUGAUCUUUAUCAUGCAACUAACACCGUGACAUCAGCUAAGUAGAAUUUUUCCUAAUGUGCCACCGGCAUUAACAUUAAUCGAGGUUUUAUACCAUAUGGAAACUAUAUGAUUAGGAAGAAUGUAGAAAAAGGAUAGCUGAAUGCACGAUGAACGGUGGUGGAAGCACACCUGUAUGCGGAAGUGACGGAAUUACAUAUUCUAAUCAGUGUCAGAUUAUUUCUAAGCAAUGUCAAGGCGUGUCUAUUCUUAUCAAACAUAUUGGGCCUUGUCCAGGUUUGUAUUUUAACAUUAUAAGUAGAAUAUCAAUGUUGAUAACAAAAAAACAUUGAAUAUUUGUGAUUAUAUGUGAACGACA